rnacentral:rRNA from 1 species
AGAGUUUGAUCAUGGCUCAGAUUGAACGCUGGCGGCAGGCUUAACACAUGCAAGUCGAGCGGAGAGAGGUAGCUUGCUACUGAUCUUAGCGGCGGACGGGUGAGUAAUGCUUAGGAAUCUGCCUAUUAGUGGGGGACAACAUUUCGAAAGGAAUGCUAAUACCGCAUACGUCCUACGGGAGAAAGCAGGGGAUCUUCGGACCUUGCGCUAAUAGAUGAGCCUAAGUCGGAUUAGCUAGUUGGUGGGGUAAAGGCCUACCAAGGCGACGAUCUGUAGCGGGUCUGAGAGGAUGAUCCGCCACACUGGGACUGAGACACGGCCCAGACUCCUACGGGAGGCAGCAGUGGGGAAUAUUGGACAAGGGGCGCAAGCCUGAUCCAGCCAUGCCGCGUGUGUGAAGAAGGCCUUAUGGUUGUAAAGCACUUUAAGCGAGGAGGAGGCUACUUUAGUUAAUACCUAGAGAUAGUGGACGUUACUCGCAGAAUAAGCACCGGCUAACUCUGUGCCAGCAGCCGCGGUAAUACAGAGGGUGCAAGCGUUAAUCGGAUUUACUGGGCGUAAAGCGCGCGUAGGCGGCUAAUUAAGUCAAAUGUGAAAUCCCCGAGCUUAACUUGGGAAUUGCAUUCGAUACUGGUUAGCUAGAGUGUGGGAGAGGAUGGUAGAAUUCCAGGUGUAGCGGUGAAAUGCGUAGAGAUCUGGAGGAAUACCGAUGGCGAAGGCAGCCAUCUGGCCUAACACUGACGCUGAGGUGCGAAAGCAUGGGGAGCAAACAGGAUUAGAUACCCUGGUAGUCCAUGCCGUAAACGAUGUCUACUAGCCGUUGGGGCCUUUGAGGCUUUAGUGGCGCAGCUAACGCGAUAAGUAGACCGCCUGGGGAGUACGGUCGCAAGACUAAAACUCAAAUGAAUUGACGGGGGCCCGCACAAGCGGUGGAGCAUGUGGUUUAAUUCGAUGCAACGCGAAGAACCUUACCUGGCCUUGACAUAGUAAGAACUUUCCAGAGAUGGAUUGGUGCCUUCGGGAACUUACAUACAGGUGCUGCAUGGCUGUCGUCAGCUCGUGUCGUGAGAUGUUGGGUUAAGUCCCGCAACGAGCGCAACCCUUUUCCUUAUUUGCCAGCGAGUAAUGUCGGGAACUUUAAGGAUACUGCCAGUGACAAACUGGAGGAAGGCGGGGACGACGUCAAGUCAUCAUGGCCCUUACGGCCAGGGCUACACACGUGCUACAAUGGUCGGUACAAAGGGUUGCUACCUAGCGAUAGGAUGCUAAUCUCAAAAAGCCGAUCGUAGUCCGGAUUGGAGUCUGCAACUCGACUCCAUGAAGUCGGAAUCGCUAGUAAUCGCGGAUCAGAAUGCCGCGGUGAAUACGUUCCCGGGCCUUGUACACACCGCCCGUCACACCAUGGGAGUUUGUUGCACCAGAAGUAGCUAGCCUAACUGCAAAGAGGGCGGUUACCACGGUGUGGCCGAUGACUGGGGUGAAGUCGUAACAAGGUAGCCGUAGGGGAACCUGCGGCUGGAUCACCU